GUGAGCUCAAACACCCACAUAGUCUGGCUCAAAUCGCUCACAUAUCUCUAGUGAGCACAAAUCGUCCACAUAACUAGCUCAAAUCGCCCACCUAGCUUCUCGUGAGCUCAAAUCACCCACAUAGCCAUCUCAAAUUGCCCACAUAGCUCACACAAGCUCAAAUCGCCCACAUAUCUCACACAAGCUCAAAUCUCCCACAUAGCUUCUCGUGAGCUCAAAUCUC
rnacentral:lncRNA from 1 species